CAGGCCGCGGGCCCCCCCCCCCCCCCCCCCCCCCCCCCCCCCGGCGUCGGGAGCGGGCGUGGCAGGGCUCUGAGCACCGCACGAGUGGUGAGUCCCAGACGCGGGCUCCUCACGGCCCCCGGGCCUGCAGGCAGGGCCCACUCCUGGAGACAGACUCUGGGAGGUCCACUGACCCGCCGGAGGCCCGGAGCUGAAUGGCGCCGCAGGCAUCACCCGGUGGGUCGGCCGCUCAGGCUCCUCCCCCCAGGGGCCCAGAGCCAGGAGCCGCCUCCCUGCGAUGAUCUGGGCAGGGGGGGUACGGGUGGGGACUGGUGUUCACCCCCCACCCCAGGCCAAGCCCGGAGGGCGUCAAGGGCAGGGAGGGGCAGGAGGCAGGCCUUACCGGGGCGCCGGGAAGCCCAGGGGCCCCGUCCCGCCCAGGCACUCCAGGAAGGCCUGCGGGGCCUGGGACGUCGGAGCUGUUCAUCCCAAAGCGGCCCGGCUCUCCGGGCAGGCCUGGGACGCCGGGGGGCCCCGGGGGGCCGGGGAAGCCUCUCGGGCCCUGGAUACAGAGAGACGCAGGAUGGUUGUGGCACGCGGCACCCGCCGAGGGACGGCCCUGACCCCCACCCCCGCUUGGGCGGCACCACCACCACCACCACCACCACCACAGGGUCCACACGCCCAGGACACUCACUCGGAGACUUUCCAGGUCACCGCCGAACCCGGACCCCUCCAUGUCAAUGAAGGUCUGAGGGAGGGAGCCCACGGGCACGUCACCAGGGGCCCAGGUCCUUCCACCCGGCCCUCCCCUCGCCCGAGGCCAGCGGGGUGGGGGCUCGACCCGGCCCGGCAGGAUGCUCGUCUCGAGCACGGCCCACGGCCCACAGCUGGGAGGUUUACGGCGAGAAGCCGUGAGCAGGUAGUGGACGCGCCCGCUGAACAAAAGGAGGCAGAGCCGGGCAGGAGGACAGCCCUGCGGCCCCAACACCCUGUGGCCCAGCAGACAGGGCUGACUCCCGGGCCCGACACCCCUCCCGGAGGGCCGGUCUGGGUCCAAAGAAGGAGGCGUCAGGAAGCCAAGCAAGGUGUGGAGGGUCCCUCCGGGGGCAGCAGGCGGCCCCCCUGCUGGAAGAGGCUG
rnacentral:lncRNA from 1 species